GUUUACUUUCACACAGGUUGUGUCUCAGGUAGUUUCCUCCAGCUGAAGUAACAUUUGUUUAGGCUUCAAACCCUUCUCCAGAACGAAUGAGAACUGACCGAGUAGAUGAAGAUGAUGAAGAUGAUUUGUCCACCAUCUUCUGGCUUUUUCUGAGGGAUUCCAAUGCAUUCUGGGAAGUGUAGUCCCUCCAGUAGAUCAUGG